AAGACUUUAGUUAAUCCAAUAAUAGUAGUUUGUCAGGCUAUCGUAAUCCUCCGGGGUAAGUCUUG
rnacentral:tRNA from 1 species